rnacentral:lncRNA from 1 species
AUUUGAGUCUUGGGUGCUUGUGACUUUACAAAGGAUUCCAUGGUGACUCAGUGGCUGAUGAGGGACCAGAUCUCUGAAAUCCAUGCACUUGCACUGGGAAGCCUCAAGUUUCCAGAUCACUAGAACCAUAUCCUUGGUGGGACUUGAAUAUCUUUCUCUUCUAGCCCAUAGAAGCC